AGCCUUCGGGGAGAAAUGGGCUCUCACCCCCGGAGCUGUGGCGGAGACGACUGGGGCACAGCCUCGCGCAGGAGAGCCUCAGGCUCGGGCUUGUACCUUAGGAAGAAACUUUAAGACGUCCUGGCCCGACAACUUCCUUCUGCAGAGGAGGAAAAGAAGGGUCCGAGCGAGCUUGAACGCCGGGGCAGAAUCCGGCCGGAGCUCAGCUCGCAGGCCCACCUCCGGGUUCCUUUCCCUUCACCAAGUUUGCAGCGGGGAGGAGAGGUUACAGCACAUCUGAAGAGGGGGAAGCCAUCUUGCCUCUAUGAUUAGACAAACAUAAGGAUAAAAUCUUCUCUGUGAGGAUAAUGGAACAAAGUUGUAUAAUGGGCCUAGAUUCCCUUCCUGUAGACCUCUUGUUAUGUGAGGAAAAUAAAAUGCUACUACAAGGUUAA